GGGCGAAUAGCUCAGUUGGUUAGAGCGCAGUCCUGAUAAGACUGAGGUCCGUGGUUCAAAUCCACGUUCGCCCACCA
rnacentral:tRNA from 1 species